ACAACAAAAAUAAACCUUCUUUCCAGUUUGGCCGACAUAUAAAUCAGAUUGUCUUCAGAGUUACUGGUUUACUGAAUAAAUGAUUACAAGUAAAACUGAAAGUAUUUAUUAAAUUUCUACAAUCUUCAAUAGCAAAGCAUAGAGAACAAAAUGGAUUAGAUUUAGUCAGUACUGAAGGAGAAAGAAGUGGUAGGUGCAGACUGAAGAACCUGGGAUAUUAGAUUUCCCAACCUCUUUUUCUAUGACCUAGAGCAGAUGGCUUCAUAAAGGCACUAUUUCUUCAUGGUUGAGAGUAGAAGCUCUACAGCCUGAUUAGUCUAUCCAAAGUCCAGCUCUACCACUUACCAUUUGUGUAAACUUGAGCAACUUAUUAAACCUCUUGGUUCAUUGGUUUCCCCAAUUCUAACAUGGGAAUAAUUACAGUACCCAUCUCCAGGGAUUGGUGUGAGGAUUAAAUGACUUAACAACUUAAACAUGGGCCAGUUAAAAUUUUCCCAUCGCUUAACAUGCACCUGACAAAUAUUAGCAAGCAUUAUGCCAGCUGGAACUUUCCCCCUUUGACUCCCAGUUAAGAAACUAUAUUGGAAUGCAAGUGAGAGUGAAAAAGAGAAGAAUAUACUAUGGACAUAACAUAUUGCUUGGUGAAGAUUUAUAUGGUGCAAAGAUUUUUAUAAAUCAUUUUCCUGAGUUCCUCAAGAGUAUGUGAAAGGACUUCUUCUUCAUUCAUUCCUUGUUUCUGCAUUCAUUGCUUUUGUUUCUCUUCCCCAAUUAGUCACUCAUUCUGUUGCAGGAAAGAUCAAAUAAGAAGGUAUGUCAUUUUCAAUCAUAUCAUUGUCUUUUACACAUGUGUUUCUCAAUUUGAAUAAAUGGCAUUAUGCUAUAGACAUCAUCUUUUUUUUUUAAACUAAGUACUAUUAAGAUCUGUCCAUGUCACUAUGUGGAAAUGUGGCUCCUUGCUUCUAAUUGUUGCAUAGUGUUCUUGAGCGUCCACCCGUCUCAUUUUAUAAAUCCAUCCCCUCAAUGCUGGUAAACAGUGGCCUCUAACUCCCAGUUACUGCAUGUAACAUUGUAGUAGACAUCCUCAUUCAUAUCCCCUUUAAAAGAGGUUCUCCUUAAUCAUUUGAAGUUGUCAGAAUCUCCUCAACCUAGUAUAACCAAAAAGAUAUCUAAUGAAGAAAAUUCAUUAUUUUUUAAUUACUGUUAUUUUUGAUUGACAAAUCUUUAUAUACAUUUUUGGUGUGCAAUGUGAUGUUUUGAUAUAUGUAUA
rnacentral:lncRNA from 1 species